UACGGAAGGCAGCAGUGGGGAAUAUUGCACAAUGGGCGAAAGCCUGAUGCAGCUAUGCCGCGUGUAUGAAGAAGGCCUUAGGGUUGUAAAGUACUUUCAUCGGGGAGGAAAAACAAAACUAAUAAUUUUAUUUCUUGACGUUACCCGAAAAAGAAGCGCCGGCUAACUCCGUGCCAGCAGCCGCGGUAAUACGGAGGGUGCUAGCGUUAAUCAGAAUUACUGGGCGUAAAGAGCACGUAGGUGGUUUUUUUAAGUCAGAUGUGAAAUCCCUGGGCUUAACCUAGGAACUGCAUUUUGAAACUGAAAUACUAGAGUAUCGUAGAGGGAGGUAGAAUUCUAGGUGUAGCGGUGAAAUGCGUAGAUAUCUGGAGGAAUACCUGUGGCGAAAGCGGCCUCCUAAACGAAUACUGACACUGAGGUGCGAAAGCGUGGGGAGCAAACAGGGAUUAGAUACC
rnacentral:rRNA from 1 species